GAUGAACGCUGGCGGCGUGCUUAACACAUGCAAGUCGAACGGGAUCCAUCAGGCUUUGCUUGGUGGUGAGAGUGGCGAACGGGUGAGUAAUGCGUGACCGACCUGCCCCAUACACCGGAAUAGCUCCUGGAAACGGGUGGUAAUGCCGGAUGCUCCAGUUGAUCGCAUGGUCUUCUGGGAAAGCUUUCGCGGUAUGGGAUGGGGUCGCGUCCUAUCAGCUUGACGGCGGGGUAACGGCCCACCGUGGCUUCGACGGGUAGCCGGACUGAGAGGUUGAACGGCCACAUUGGGACUGAGACACGGCCCAGACUCCUACGGGAGGCAGCAGUGGGGAAUAUUGCACAAUGGGCGCAAGCCUGAUGCAGCGACGCCGCGUGGAGGAAGAAGGUUUUCGGAUUGUAAACUCCUGUCGUUAGGGACGAUAAUGACGGUAC
rnacentral:rRNA from 1 species